AACUUUCAACAACGGAUCUCUUGGCUCUCGCAUCGAUGAAGAACACAGCGAAAUGCGAUAAGUAAUGUGAAUUGCAGAAUUCAGUGAAUCAUCGAAUCUUUGAACGCACCUUGCGCCCUUUGGCUAUUCUGAAGGGCAUGCCUGUUUGAGCAUCAUAAACAUCUCAACUCUCACUGUUUCCUGUGAUGAGAUUGGACUUUGGGGGUCUUGUUGGCUUGUGUUCAGCUCCCCUCAAAUCUAUCAGCUUCCCAGUGUUUGGCAGCAUCACAGGUGUGAUAAAUAUCUACGCUUGUGGUUCUUUGCCAGGUCUGUCCUCUCCUUGCAGAGGGCUCGCUGGAGCUCAUAGAUGUCUCUCCUUGGUGGAGACAGCUGUUUGAAGUUUGGUCUCAAAUCAGGUAGGAUUACCCGCUGAACUUAAGCAUAUCAAUAAGCGGAGGCU
rnacentral:misc_RNA from 1 species